UACGUAGGGUGCAAGCGUUGUCCGGAAUUAUUGGGCGUAAAGAGCUCGUAGGCGGUUUGUUGCGUCGGCUGUGAAAUCCCGAGGCUCAACCUCGGGUCUGCAGUCGAUACGAGCAAACUAGAGUGUUGCAGGGGAGACUGGAACUCCUGGUGUAGCGGUGAAAUGCGCAGAUAUCAGGAGGAACACCGGUGGCGAAGGCGGGUCUCUGGGCAACAACUGACGCUGAGGAGCGAAAGCGUGGGGAGCGAACAGG
rnacentral:rRNA from 1 species